UUGUUUUGGCAACACAUAUAUUAAAUUGGGAUGAUAACAGAGAAGAUUAGCAUGGCCCCUGUGCAAGUAUGACAUGCAAAUUCAUGAAGUGUUCCAUAUUUAA